rnacentral:rRNA from 1 species
CCAAUAGCGUAUAUUAAAGUUGUUGCAGUUAAAAAGCUCGUAGUUGAAUUUCGAGAUCAAUAUAUUGGUCGUGCCUCCGGUACGUACUGGUAUCGUUGAUUUCUACCUUCUGACGAACCAUGAUGUCAUUAAUUUGGUGUCAUGGGAAAUCAGGACUGUUACUUUGAAAAAAUUAGAGUGUUUAAAGCAGGCACACGCUUGAAUACAUUAGCAUGGAAUAAUGAAAUAGGACGUUUGACCCUAUUUUGUUGGUUUCUAGGAUCGACGUAAUGAUUAAUAGGGAUAGUUGGGGGCAUUAGUAUUCAAUUGUCAGAGGUGAAAUUCUUGGAUUUAUUGAAGACUAACUACUGCGAAAGCAUUUGCCAAGGAUGUUUUCAUUAAUCAAGAACGAAAGUUAGGGGAUCGAAGACGAUCAGAUACCGUCGUAGUCUUAACCAUAAACUAUGCCGACUAGGGAUCGGAUGAUGUUAAUUUUUUAAUGACUCAUUCGGCGCCUUACG